rnacentral:rRNA from 1 species
GGGAAACAGCCCAGAUUAUCAGUUAAGGCCCCUAAAUAUUUACUAAGUGGUAAAGGAUGUAAUAAUACCUAGACAACCAGGAGGUUGGCUUAGAAGCAGCCAUUCCUUUAAAAAGUGCGUAAUAGCUUACUGGUCAAGUGUUGUUGCGCCGAAAAUGAAUGGGACUAAGUAAAUUGCCGAAGCUAUAAGAUAUUAAACAUCGGUAGGAGAGCGUCCUGAAAGGUGAGAAGUUUUUGUGAAAACAUUAAAAUGGACUUUUCAGGAGUGAGAAUGUCGGCUUAAGUAACGAAAACAAUGGUGGAAAUCCAUUGCCCCGAAAACCUAAGGUUUCCUUUGCCAGGUUCGUCCACAAAGGGUUAGUCAGAUUCUAAAGUAAAGUUGAAUAGCUUAGUUGAUGAUAAACAGGUUAAUAUUCCUGUACCUUAUAUUAAUUUUUGCUAUGAGUGACGAAGGUGGGAGGAAUCAUCCAAAGAUUGGUUGUUUUGGUUUAAUUUAUCGAGGUUAUGAGGGUUAUAACAAAAAAUAAUCUGAGCUAAGAUUAAGAAUACGAUAUACAUUACGGUGUUAAAAGUGAUUUCCUUCGGACUUCCUAGAAAAACUCUUAUAGUCUAUUUAUUAUAAGUCUGUACCGUAAACUGACACAGGUGGGUGGGUAGAGAAUACUAAGGGGCGCGAGAUAACCCUUUCUAAGGAACUCGGCAAAAUGACUUUGUAACUUCGGAAGAAAAAGUGCCUCUUUAAAAGAGAGGUCGCAGUAAGCAGGUCCAUGCGACAGUUUAUCAAAAACUCAAGUCUCUGCUAAGUCGAAAGACGAUGUAUAGAGGCUGACGCCUGCCCAGUGCCGGAAGGUUAAAGAAAUUGGUUAGCUAUGCGAAGCUGGUGACUGAAGCCCCGGUGAACGGCGGCAAUAACUAUAAUUGUCCUAAGGUAGCGAAAUUCCUUGUCAGGUAAGUUCUGACCCGCACGAAAGGCGUAACGAUAUGGAUACUGUCUCAGAAAGGGACUCGGUGAAAUAGAAUUGACUGUGAAGAUGCGGUCUACCUGCACUUGGACAGAAAGACCCUAUGAAGCUUUACUGUAGCCUGUUAUUGAUUUAGAAUUUCUUUUGCGCAGAAUAGGUGGGAGGCUUUGAAGCUCUUUUUCGGAAGUUGUGGAGCCAAAAUUUGAGAUACCACUCUUAAGAAAUUUGGAAUCUAAUGACAUUCUUAAAACAUGUUUGAAAAUUUCAGGUGGGCAGUUUUACUGGGGCGGUAGCCUCCUAAAAGGUAACGGAGGCGUGCAAAGGUUUUCUCAAUUUGGGUGGAAAUCAAAUGUAGAGUGUAAAGAUAUAAGAAAGCUUGACUGUGAGACUUACUAGUCAAACAGAGACGAAAGUCGGUCUUAAUGAUCCGACAGUUGCUAGUGGAAGCGCUGUCGCUAAACGGAUAAAAGUUACUCUAGGGAUAACAGGCUGAUCUCCCCCAAGAGUUCACAUCGACGGGGAGGUUUGGCACCUCGAUGUCGGCUCAUCGCAGCCUGGAGCAGUAGUAUGUUCCAAGGGUUGGGCUGUUCGCCCAUUAAAGCGGUACGUGAGCUGGGUUCAGAACGUCGAGAGACAGUUCGGUCCAUAUCCGGUGUAGGCGUUAGAGCAUUGCAAAUAGCUUUCCUUAGUACGAGAGGACCGGGAAAGUCACACCUCUAGUGUGCCAGUUUUUGUGCCAACAGAAGACGCUGGGUAGUUACGUGUGGAGUGGAUAA